UACGAAGGGGCUAGGCGUUGCUCGGAUUCACUGGGCGUAAAGGGUGCGCAGGCGGCCAUGUGUGUGAGGCGUGAAAGCCCGAUGCUUAACAUCGGAAUUGCACCUCAAACUACAAUGGCUGAGAGCAUUGGAGAGGGUAGCAGAAUUCAUGGUGUAGCAGUGAAAUGCGUAGAUAUCAUGAGGAAUACCAGAGGCGAAGGCGGCUACCUGGACAAUUGCUGACGCUCAGGCACGAAAGCGUGGGGAGCAAAAGGG
rnacentral:rRNA from 1 species